rnacentral:rRNA from 1 species
UACAGAGGUCCCGAGCGUUGUUCGGAUUCAUUGGGCGUAAAGGGUGCGUAGGCGGCGGGGUAAGUCUGAUGUGAAAUCCUGGGGCUCAACCCUGGAACUGCAUUGGAUACUGCCUUGCUAGAGAACUGGAGAGGAGACUGGAAUUUACGGUGUAGCAGUGAAGUGCGUAGAGAUCGGUAAGGAAGACCAGUGGCGAAGGCGAGUCUCUGGACAGUUACGUGACGCUGAGGCACGAAGGCCCAGGGGAGCAAACGGG